CCUACCCGCCCCUCCUUCCCUCACUGCGGUAACUCGGAGCAGCAGGACAAAGCGCCUGGGAUAAGGACUGAAGACUGAAGCAGCCAUGGGCUCUGAAGGAGUGGGCCUCCCUGGGGGCAGGUGGGCCCUGCUUCUCCUGUUUCUGUUGGCUGUGGGAGGCAUGGCUCAGGAGUCCCCACCCCAGAUCUUAGUUCACCCCCAGGACCAGCUGCUCCAGGGCUCGGGCUCUGCCAAGAUGAGCUGCAGCGCAUCAGGCCGGCCACCCCCCACCAUCCGCUGGCUGCUGAAUGGGCAGCCCCUGAAGGUAGAUGUAGACCUAUACCACCUCUUGUCCGAUGGAAGCCUCCUCCUGCUGCGGCCCCCCAUGCAGGGACGAGCCCAGAAUGACCAGGCCCUGUCUGCAAUCCUGGGCAUCUACACGUGUGAGGCCAGCAACCAGCUGGGCACGGCAGUCAGCAGAGGCGCUCGGCUGUCUGUGGCUGUCCUCCGAGAGGAUUUCCAGAUCCAGCCCCAAGACACGGUGGCCAUGGUGGGUGAGCAGGUGAUUCUGGAGUGUGGGCCUCCCUGGGGCUACCCAGAACCCACAGUCUCAUGGUGGAAAGAUGGGAAACCCCUGGCCCUUCAGCCGGGGCGGCACACGGUAUCCAGUGGUUCCCUGCUGGUGUCAAGUGCAGAGAAGAGUGACACGGGGAUCUAUAUGUGUGCAGCUGCCAACAAUGCGGGACAGCGCGAAAGUCGAGCAGCCAGGGUCUCUAUCCAGGAGUCCCAAGACCACAAGGAACCUCUGGAGCUUCUGGCUGUACGCAUUCAGCUAAAAAAUGUGACCCUGCUGAACCUAGACUCCAAGAAGGGCCCCAAGCCUGGGCCAGCUGUGUGGCUCAGCUGGAAGGUGAGUGGCCCUGCUGCACCUGCUCAGUCCUACACAGCUUUGUUCAGGGCCCAGACAGCCCAGGGAGACCAGAGAGCUCCGUGGGCAGAGGUGCUGCUGGACGGCUGGCAAAGUGCAGAGCUCAGCGGACUCCACUGGGGCCAAGCCUACGAGUUCAAAGUGAGACCAUCCUCUGGCCGGGCUCGAGGCCCUGACAGCAAUGUGUUGCUCCUGAGCCUGCCAGAACAAGUACCCAGUGCCCCACCCCAAGAAGUGACCCUAAAACAUGACAACAGCAGCAUCCUUGUGAGCUGGGUCCCACCACCUGCUGAAAACCACAAUGGCAUCAUUCGUGGCUACCAGGUCUGGAGCUUGGGCAACAGCUCAUUGCCUCCCAUCAACUACACUGUCAUGGGUGUGCAGACCCAGCUGGAGAUCGAUACCCGAACAUCAGGUUCCUACUGUGUCCAAGUGGCUGCGUUCACUGGGGCUGGGACUGGGGAACCCAGUAGCCCUGUCUGCCUCCUGUUAGAGCAAGCCAUGGAGCGAUCAGCCCAAGAACCCAGUGAGCAUGGUCUCUGGACCUUGGAGUGGCUGAGGGCCACCGUGAGGAGGCCAGAGGUCAUCACCAGUGGAGGCGUCCUCCUUUGGCUGCUGCUGCUGGGCAUCACUGUGUGUGUCUACCGCAGGCGCCGAGCCAGGGUGCACAUGGGCCCAGGGCUAUACAGAUACACCAGUGAGGAUGCCAUCUUAAAACACAGGAUGGACCACAGUGACUCUCCCUGGCUGGCAGACACCUGGAGAUCCACCUCUGGCUCUCGGGACUUGAGCAGUAGCAGCAGCCUUAACAGCCGGCUGGGAGUGGACCCCCGGGACCCGCUAGACUGCCGGCGCUCCUUGAUCUCCUGGGACCCCCGAAGCCCCGGGGUGCCCCUGCUUCCAGACACCAGCACCUUUUAUGGCUCCCUCAUUGCUGAGCUGCCCUCCAGCCCCCCAGCCCAGCCAAGCCCCCAGGCCCCAGCUGCCAGGCGCCUUCCUCCCCCAUUGGUGCGGACCUCCAGCCCCUGGCCCAGCUCAGACAGCCUCUGCAGCCGCAGGGGCCUCGCUUCGCCCCGCUUGUCUCUGGCCCCUGCAGAGGCUUGGAAGGCCAAGAAGAAGCAAGAACUGCACCAAGCCAACAGCUCUCCCCUGCUCCGGGGUAGCCACCCACUGGAGCUCUGGGCCUGGGAGUUGGGACACAGAAGCUCCAAGAACCUUUCCCAAAGCCCAGGCCCAGGCUCUUGUUUCCCAGCAGCUGUGCCUGGGGCUCUGGUGGCCUGGCGGGCCCUGGGACCACAGCUCCUCCGUAACUCCAAUGAGCUAGCGACCCGCCCUCUCCCUCCAGUUCCUCUCUCUCCAGGCGGAACCCACACUCAGAGUCCACAGACCCAGCACUCCGUGGAACCCCAGGCUUCUGCUCCCCUCCCCGUCCUUAGCCCCUCCAGGUCUCCCAGCCCCCAGCCCUCGUCCCUCUCUGGUCCCAGCCCAGCUUCCAGCCGCCUGUCCAGCUCUUCACUGUCAUCCCUGGGGGAGGAUCAGGACAGUGUGCUGACCCCUGAGGAGGUGGCCUUGUGCCUGGAACUCAGUGAGGGCGAGGAGACCCCCAGGAACAGCAUCUCUCCUAUGCCCAGGGCGCCUUCGCCCCCUACAACCUAUGGGUACAUCAGCAUUCCAACAGCCUCGGAGCUGGCAGAUGUGGGCAGGGCUGGAGGAGGCGUGGCAUCUGAAGGGGGGGGCUUGUUGUGCCCACCUCGGCCCUGCCCCACCCCUACCCCCAGUGAGGGCUCCCUGGCCAAUGGCUGGGGCUCGGCCUCUGAGGACAACGCGCCCAGUGCCAGAGCCAGCCUGGUCAGCUCUUCUGAUGGCUCUUUCCUCGCUGAUGCUCACUUUGCCCGUGCCCUGGGCAUGGCUGUGGAUAGCUUUGGUUUUGGUCUGGAGCCCCGGGAGGCCGACUGCGUUUUCACUGACGUCUCAUCACCUCCCUCCCCACGGGAUGACAUCUUCCUGACGCCCACCCUUUCCCUGCCCCUAUGGGAGUGGAGGCCAGACUGGUUGGAGGACAUAGAGGUCAACUACACCCAGCAGCUGGGAAGGGGGCUGCCUCCUUGGACCCCUGACUCUGGGAUCUCUUCCCAGUGAAGUCGGCUCAGCUGUCCUGAACCCAAGGCUGGGGGUGAGUGUGUGGCUGUCUGGCUAACACGAUUCCUCCUGAACUGUGAGUCUGAGAUAGACAGCAGGACCUCGGGGCCAGCCCUCCUGUGUGCUCACAAGGCUGGCCUGUGCCUCCAGGAGAGUUUUCCCACCAACAUUGCUCAAAGAAAGAAAAAAGAUGAAAGCAAGAGCAAAGUAGACCUGGAGCAUUCUGCAUGCAAAGCAUCACCUCCACCUGACCCCAGGAUCCUCUCUCCUCAGAGCCACCCUUCAGCCUGGGCCUCUGGCCUCAGGAGCAGCUCUGUCUCCUGCUCUUCCCCCCCAGGGGUCACAAGAAGUGGGGAGCCAGAGGGCUCUCCACAGAGGACCCAGUGGCUGGUCAAGAGGGCUGUGGAAGCAGAGCGCCUCCUCUCUCAGCCCUACCUGGGCCCCUCCUCUAGAGGCCAGUGCAAACCUCUCCCCGGCCCCAUCACAUAGAGAAAAUAAAGCAGCGGCACUGGGGCCCUACCUAGUGCCAAGGCCCAGGGCUCAAGGAUGGGUCUAGGGAAGAGACUGAACAAAGAGAUGAGCGAGCAUGGGACAAAAGCACCCUCCUCAUCCCACUGUCACUUUGAGCUUCUGAAACUUGAUGCUAUAAAACUGUAAAGACUUGA